UAGGUAGUCCGUAUUUUCAGCUGACUUUUGCUUUACGAAACUCUAUCCACCUGAUUCCUGUUUCCUCGCCCUGCCAUUUUUUCUGACAUUUUUAUGUCCGACGCACAGGCGCCCGGAUCAAGGACUAAUGCCAGCUCGGUAAAAGUUGAUCGGGCCAGGGAGCGAAAGUAGUGGUGGGCCAAAGGUAGACACGGUAAAUUAGAUUUGGCACUGCCCUGCUGAUGAUGAUGCAUGCGACAAGUGAGUUAAGGUUCCAGGUGGAUCGGGGAGUCUCAGCCAGGUGCAGCAAGUGGAAACAAUAAGAGCAACAGACGGCGAACGUAACUUUAAGCCGAUAUCAAAUCUUUCAAUAAUUAAUAUGGCCCACAGCCAGCCAAGCCAUAAGCUGCUGUCGCCGUCCUGCGCCCUUUGUCCUUCGUCCUACUCCAUCCCAUUUUGGCUGCUCCUCCACCGCACACGACCAACUUUGCCAGCCAUUUGCAAAAGUUCGCAGGGGAAUCCCAUCGGAGAGGCCCUGCCUGUUGCCUGACACUAAUAACAAUAAUCGCAAAUUGUAUUUUCAUGAAUUUUCAACUCGUAAUUACUAAUAUUUCAAUAUACAUACAAAUACAUAAUCUAUAUACACAGCACCCCCAUCGGGCGCCCAAAUGCGAAUGGAAGCCAAAACUGGCGCAUAAUUAAAAUUUGUUGUCCACGGCUGCUGCUGUGAAAAGGG